AGUCCAGACUCCUACGGGAGGCAGCAGUGGGGAAUAUUGCACAAUGGGGGGAACCCUGAUGCAGCGACGCCGCGUGAGUGAAGAAGUAUUUCGGUAUGUAAAGCUCUAUCAGCAGGGAAGAAAAUGACGGUACCUGACUAAGAAGCCCCGGCUAAAUACGUGCCAGCAGCCGCGGUAAUACGUAUGGUGCAAGCGUUAUCCGGAUUUACUGGGUGUAAAGGGAGCGCAGGCGGCACGGCAAGCCUGAUGUGAAAGCCCGCGGCCCAACCGCGGGACUGCAUUGGGAACUACCGGGCUGGAGUGCCGGAGAGGUAGGCGGAAUUCCUAGUGUAGCGGUGAAAUGCGUAGAUAUCAGGAGGAACACCGGUGGCGAAGGCGGCCUGCUGGACUGCAACUGACGUUGAGGCCCGAAAGCGUGGGGAGCAAACAGGAUUAGAUACCCUCGUCA
rnacentral:rRNA from 1 species